GCUUGCUUUUGAUGGGCGUCGACCGGCGCACGGGUGAGUAACGCGUAUCCAACCUGCCCACCACUUGGGGAUAACCUUGCGAAAGUAAGACUAAUACCCAAUGAUAUCUCUAGAAGACAUCUGAAAGAGAUUAAAGAUUUAUCGGUGAUGGAUGGGGAUGCGUCUGAUUAGCUUGUUGGCGGGGUAACGGCCCACCAAGGCAACGAUCAGUAGGGGUUCUGAGAGGAAGGUCCCCCACAUUGGAACUGAGACACGGUCCAAACUCCUACGGGAGGCAGCAGUGAGGAAUAUUGGUCAAUGGACGAGAGUCUGAACCAGCCAAGUAGCGUGCAGGAUGACGGCCCUAUGGGUUGUAAACUGCUUUUAUAAGGGAAUAAAGUGAGUCUCGUGAGACUUUUUGCAUGUACCUUAUGAAUAAGGACCGGCUAAUUCCGUGCCAGCAGCCGCGGUAAUACGGAAGGUCCGGGCGUUAUCCGGAUUUAUUGGGUUUAAAGGGAGCGUAGGCCGGAGAUUAAGCGUGUUGUGAAAUGUAGAUGCUCAACAUCUGCACUGCAGCGCGAACUGGUUUCCUUGAGUACGCGCAAAGUGGGCGGAAUUCGUGGUGUAGCGGUGAAAUGCUUAGAUAUCACGAAGAACUCCGAUUGCGAAGGCAGCUCACUGGAGCGCAACUGACGCUGAAGCUCGAAAGUGCGGGUAUCGAACAGGAUUAGAUACCCUGGUAGUCCGCACGGUAAACGAUGGAUGCCCGCUGUUGGUCUGAAUAGGUCAGCGGCC
rnacentral:rRNA from 1 species